rnacentral:rRNA from 1 species
CAGCCUAACACAUGCAAGUCGAGGGGUAACGAUGGAGACUUCGGUUUUCAGGCGACGACCGGCGAACGGGUGCGUAACGCGUAUGCAACCUACCCAUAACAGGGGGAUAGUCAAGAGAAAUUUUGAAUAAUAUCCCAUAGCACAUAUAAUUGGCAUCGAUUAUAUGUUAAAGCUCCGGCGGUUAUGGAUGGGCAUGCGUCCCAUUAGUUAGUUGGUAAGGUAACGGCUUACCAAGACGUUGAUGGUAGGGGUCCUGAGAGGGUAAUCCCCCACACUGGUACUGAGACACGGACCAGACUCCUACGGGAGGCAGCAGUGAGGAAUAUUGGGCAAUGGACGGGAGUCUGACCCAGCCAUGCCGCGUGCAGGAUGACUGCCUUAUGGGUUGUAAACUGCUUUUACGAGUGGAUAAACUAUCUUACGUGUAAGGUAUUGAAGGUAACUCGUGAAUAAGCAUCGGCUAACUCCGUGCCAGCAGCCGCGGUAAUACGGAGGAUGCGAGCGUUAUCCGGAUUUAUUGGGUUUAAAGGGUGCGCAGGCUGUUUGUUAAGUCAGAGGUGAAAUCCCGGGGCUCAACUCCGGAACUGCCUAUGAUACUGG